rnacentral:RNase_P_RNA from 1 species
CAAGUAGGCUAGACAGUCGCUGUAUUUUGGAUACAGAGGAAAGUCCGGGCUCCAUAGAGCAGGAUGCCGGUUAAUGACCGGAGGCCGUGAGGUCUGGAAAGUGCCACAGAAAAUAUACCGCCAGGGAAACCUGGCAAGGGUGAAAAGGUGCGGUAAGAGCGCACCGCGCUGACGGUAACGUUAGUGGCAGGGUAAACCCCAUUCGGAGCAAGACCAAGCAGAGGGCAAAAGCGUGGCUCGCGCUGUUCUCGGGUAGGUUGCUAGAGCGUGCAGGUAACUGGGCGCCAAGAUAAAUGACUGUCCUAGACAGAACCCGGCUUAUCGGUCUGCUUGCUUU